UUGCCUCUUGAUUAAUAAUAAGAGGUACAUCCUGCCCAGUGACUUACGAGUUAAACGGCCGCGGUACCCUGACCGUGCUAAGGUAGCAUAUAAUAUGCCCUUUAAUUGGGGGCUAGAAUGAACGGACACACGAAAGCAUAGCUGUCUCUAUAAUAAUAAAAUAAAAUUAGUCUUCAGGUGAAGAAACCUGAAUAAACUUAAAAGACAAGAAGACCCUGUAGAGCUUCACUUAUAAAAAUCAAACGAAAAAAUACCUUAUAUUUUUCUUUACUAAUAUUAAUAAGUUUGACUGGGGCGGUCAGAGAGCAUAUAACCCUCUCUCAUCUUAAUAAAGGCCUAUCUGCCAAAAAACGAUCCUUAACUGAUCAUAAAAAAUAGCUACCUCAGGGAUAACAGACUAAUCUCUUCCGAGAGCACCUAUUGAAGAAGAGGUUUGGCACCUCGAUGUUGGCUUAGAGUAUCCUAGAGGUUGCAGAAGCUUCUAAAGGUAGGUUUGUUCAACCUUUAAAACUCUACGUGAUCUGAGUUCAGACCGGA
rnacentral:rRNA from 1 species